GGGGCAUGCUGUUGGCUUGUGGACUUCACUUCAGGUUUUUAGGUUGCUUAAGAUUUGUACUGACUUGUGUGACUCGUGCUGGCACAAUACUACUUGAGGCCUCUUUUCAACCAAAAUUUCCGCCUUUAGGAAAUAACCGUACCCUCCAGUCAAAGGAAAUGACAAGGAAAUGAUGGUGUAGUAGAUGAAACAGAUUUUUGCUGAGAUGGACUUCGUGAUUGACCUUAGGUGUGGUUUGUAUGUGUUAUCAUGAUGCUUAGGACACGGGAUUUACAUUGUGGAAUGCCAUGGCAUGCUGCAAGUAUAAUGCACUUGGCUUGGAUGAUGAUGCAGGCUGGAGACUAUUGAAGAUGUCCCUUGUGGUAAGAGUUGCUUUGGCUGGUUUAGAUCAAUUUAUCACCAAAAAUGCCGCUUUGACAAAUGCGAAAGAAGUCGAUGCACACCCUAUUCGUGUUAUGAAGUUUUCCGUUGCCUGCUGUGCGUGCUGCUGUUUUUUUAAUUGUGCAAGUGGCAGUAUGCGUGCGGCUCGUAACCUUUGGGAGAAAAUAGCACAAGGAGUUUGUUGCGGUCAAUAUACCCGCUGUUUCCGGCUUGACAUGAAGUUAUGUAUUUGGAUCAUAGGCUAGGAUUUUCCCUUUGGCAAUUUGCAAACAGUUGUAACUCUUAUUUGUAACACAUAAACGUAUGGACGUGUAUGUAUUAUUCUUCAAAUUUGUGCAUUCCUAUAUGCUUGAAUUUUAGCAGUAAACAUGAUGUUCAUUGUGGGUAAACACGCCUGAGCUGGCUUUGUAGAUAUAGUAUGAACGAGAUCUGUGUAUUGGUUCACAAAGGUUCCUGGAAUGUAAUUUUGGCUUUUGAAAUGAACAUGGUUUAUAUUAA